rnacentral:rRNA from 1 species
AACCUCCGCAAUGUGAGAAAUCGCGACGGGGGGAUCCCAAGUGCCAUUCUUAACGGGAUGGCUUUUCAUUAGUGUAAAGAGCUUUUGGAAUAAGGGCUGGGCAAGACCGGUGCCAGCCGCCGCGGUAACACCGGCAGCUCUAGUGGUAGCAGUUUUUAUUGGGCCUAAAGCGUCCGUAGCCGGUUUAAUAAGUCUCUGGUGAAAUCCUGUAGCUUAACUGUGGGAAUUGCUGGAGAUACUAUUAGACUUGAGACCGGGAGAGGUUAGAGGUACUCCCAGGGUAGAGGUGAAAUUCUGUAAUCCUGGGAGGACCGCCUGUUGCGAAGGCGUCUAACUGGAACGGUUCUGACGGUGAGGGACGAAAGUUAGGGGCGCGAACCGGAUUAGAUACCCGGGUAGUCCUAACUGUAACGAUGCGGACUUGGUGUUGGGGUGGCUUUGAGCUGCUCCAGUGCCGAAGGGAAGCUGUUAAGUCCGCCGCCCGGGAAGUACGGUCGCAAGACUGAAACUUAAAGGAAUU